UCCGGUUGAUCCUGCCGGACCCGACUGCUAUUUGGGUGAGAAUAAGCCAUGCGAGUCGAAUGGGAUACCUAAAUCUCCCAUGGCAAACUGCUCAGUAACACAUGAUCAACUUACCCUACAGAGAAAAAUAACCUCGGGAAACUGAGGAUAAUGUUUCAUAGUUGAAUAGGCUUGGAAAAGUUUUUCAAUAAAAGGGAUAAGGAAAAUGGUCCUUAUCCGCUAUAGGAUAGGAUCGUGUUCGAUUAUGGUUGUUGGUGAGGUAACGGCUCACCAAGCCGAUAAUCGAUAGGGGCCGUGAGAGCGGGAGCCCCGAGAUGGGUACUGAGACAACGACCCAGGCCUUACGAGGCGCAGCAGGCGCGGAACCUCCGCAAUACACGAAAGUGUGACGGGGUUACCCAAAGUGCUCUUUCUAGAGCUGUGGUAGGUGAGUAAUGUUCCCUACUAGAAAGGAGAGGGCAAGGCUGGUGCCAGCCGCCGCGGUAAAACCAGCUCAUCAAGUGGUCGGGAUAAUUAUUGGGCUUAAAGUGUCCGUAGCCGGUUUAGAAAGUUCCUGGUAAAAUCGGGUAGCUUAACUAUCCGUAUGCUAGGAAUACUGCUAUACUAGAGGGCGGGAGAGGUCUGAGGUACUACAGGGGUAGGGGUGAAAUCUUAUAAUCCUUGUAGGACCACCAGUGGCGAAGGCGUCAGACUGGAACGCGCCUGACGGUGAGGGACGAAAGCCAGGGGAGCGAACCGGAUUAGAUACCCGGGUAGUCCUGGCCGUAAACGAUGCAUACUAGGUGAUGGCAUUACUGCGAGUGAUGUCAGUGCCGAAGGGAAGCCGUUAAGCCCGCCAUCUGGGGAGUACGGUCGCAAGGCUGAAACUUAAAGGAAUUGGCGGGGGAGCAC
rnacentral:rRNA from 1 species